rnacentral:lncRNA from 1 species
AACUAAUUAGUUAAUUUACUAAUUUAUAUUAAUAGACAACAAAAGUGUGCCGCUAGUCUUUUAACUAUUACAAUUCAAAAUUAUAACAAAAUUAUAAUAUAUCACUAGCAAUUUGUACUGAUAGCAAAAAAUUUACCAUGUUCACUUGUUCAGCCCUACCACAACCCAUCCUUAUUUCUCCUUUUUAUCCUCACCAUCAACCUCCCAAAAUCAGCCAUCGAUCACCAUCCAUAAACUCCAUUAACAUCCACCACUGCUGAAAUCAGCAAUCCUUCUUCCAUUCUAGCCACAACCGUACACCACCAGUCUCCUUCCCCGGACCUCUUUGACCCAUGAUCUUGACCGCAAAAACAAUCACCCGAUUCCACCAUUCUCCACCCUUAUCUCACACCUCUUUCCAGCCAUAUAACUCAGUAAAACACUGAUUCGCUACCACUACAGGCACACCUGCAAAUCGAAAAAAAAAAACAAAGAAAAAAGAAAUGUGUCUCGAUUCAGAACAGAGAAGAAGAAAAGGGCGAUUUGAAUCAGAAAGAGAAGAAGGAAGGGUGAGAAACGAACAAGAAAGCAAUGAAUUUUACCUGUUAAUCGAUCCACAGUAGGGGUGGGGCGCGUUCGAUCGAUUGUAAGAGAAGAGUAGGCUGUUAAUUUUUGUUGCUGGAAGAGGUAACACGCACGCAAACAAGUCAAAAGAGGUGUUGGGCUAAUUACAUCUCAUUGUGGGCCUAAGAGAUCUCAAUUGUGGGGCUUGUUGCAUUCACAUCGGGCUUCAAUCUCAUGCAGGCGAAACAAAGGGGAGUUAUUUUAGUCUUAAAUUGUUUGAGUUAUUAAAUAUGAUUGACUGUGUUAUUUGAUCAGAACAUGUUGAGCUUAUUAUGCUUAUUUUUGUUUAAGUAACAGUUAUGGAGUAAUUUUUUUUAGGGUUUAGUUGACUUGGGAAAAUGAUAUAUCUUAUGCUGUAAGUUAACUGACAUAAUGUGUGGUAAUUGUUUGUUGUUUAAAUGUGUGUUUAGUGUCAAGACUCUUUAAUGAAAUUAGGUUACUCGACAAUGUUUAUUAUCUGACUAGUAAUAGAUGUUAAAAAUUAAUUCGGAUUUUGUUUUGUAAUUAUUUGCAACUAAUGACUUCGAGAGAAGCUUUAGUUGGGGAAUCAUUUAAACAUGAGUGUGUGAUUUCGUAAUCCCACUUAAAAUCAACAGACGUGCGUUGGUAUAUUUUUAACAAAACCAUUGAACAUAAUGUUUUUUU